rnacentral:rRNA from 1 species
AGAGCGAACGCUGGCGGCAGGCUUAACACAUGCAAGUCGAGCGGGCGUAGCAAUACGUCAGCGGCAGACGGGUGAGUAACGCGUGGGAACGUACCUUUUGGUUCGGAACAACACAGGGAAACUUGUGCUAAUACCGGAUAAGCCCUUACGGGGAAAGAUUUAUCGCCAAAAGAUCGGCCCGCGUCUGAUUAGCUAGUUGGUGAGGUAACGGCUCACCAAGGCGACGAUCAGUAGCUGGUCUGAGAGGAUGAUCAGCCACAUUGGGACUGAGACACGGCCCAAACUCCUACGGGAGGCAGCAGUGGGAAUAUUGGACAAUGGCCGCAAGCCUGAUCCAGCCAUGCCGCGUGAGUGAUGAAGGCCCUAGGGUUGUAAAGCUCUUUUGUGCGGGAAGAUAAUGACGGUACCGCAAGAAUAAGCCCCGGCUAACUUCGUGCCAGCAGCCGC